UACGAAGGGGGCUAGCGUUGUUCGGAAUUACUGGGCGUAAAGGGCGCGUAGGCGGCUUCGAUAGUCGGGCGUGAAAUGCCUGGGCUCAACCCAGGAACUGCGCUCGAAACUCCGAGGCUAGAGUGUGGGAGAGGAUAGUGGAAUUCCCAGUGUAGAGGUGAAAUUCGUAGAUAUUGGGAAGAACACCGGUGGCGAAGGCGGCGACCUGGGUCGAGACUGACGCUGAGGCGCGAAAGCGUGGGGAGCAAACAGG
rnacentral:rRNA from 1 species